rnacentral:rRNA from 1 species
GGGUCAGUAGGUUGGUCGUGCCACCGGUACGUACUGGUCUCACUGAUUCCUCCUUCCUGAAGAACCGUAAUGCCAUUAAUUUGGUGUUGCGGGGAAACAGGGCUGCUACUUUGAAAAAAUUAGAGUGUUUAAAGCAAGCUAACGCUUGAAUACAUUAGCAUGGAAUAAUGAAAUAGGACGAUCGAUCCUAUUUUGUUGGUUUCUAGGAUUGACGUA